GAUGAACGCUGGCGGCGUGCCUAAUACAUGCAAGUCGAGCGAACAGACGAGGAGCUUGCUCCUCUGACGUUAGCGGCGGACGGGUGAGUAACACGUGGAUAACCUACCUAUAAGACUGGGAUAACUUCGGGAAACCGGAGCUAAUACCGGAUAAUAUAUUGAACCGCAUGGUUCAAUAGUGAAAGACGGUUUUGCUGUCACUUAUAGAUGGAUCCGCGCCGCAUUAGCUAGUUGGUAAGGUAACGGCUUACCAAGGCAACGAUGCGUAGCCGACCUGAGAGGGUGAUCGGCCACACUGGAACUGAGACACGGUCCAGACUCCUACGGGAGGCAGCAGUAGGGAAUCUUCCGCAGUGGGCGAAAGCCUGACGGAGCAACGCCGCGUGAGUGAUGAAGGUCUUCGGAUCGUAAAACUCUGUUAUUAGGGAAGAACAAAUGUGUAAUAACUAUGCACGUCUUGACGGUACCUAAUCAGAAAGCCACGGCUAACUACGUG
rnacentral:rRNA from 1 species